AAAAAAAAAGAAAAGAAAAAAGAAAAAAUCUGAAGAGUUGGGCUCCAGUCUCAACUGUACUAUUUUCUAGCUGAUAUUUUUUUUACAAGAAAAAUCAGAGUUAAAAUCAGUUACUCUUUCUAGACAUUAAUUACCACAUUUUCGUAAAGACUCUAAACAGUAUAAAAUUGUAAAUUGCUGCUACCCUACCAAGUUACUGUCAGUAAAUACUGUGUCCAGUAAAUGUUGAGUAUGGAUUAAUUGAAGGGUACCACUAGACUUAUUUCCUUUAGCCAAGGUUGUAGCUAAGAAUUGGGCUUCUGACAUAUAUUCUUUAAAAUUUUUUUUGUGUUGGGUUUUAUAGCUCUAAACCUAAUUUCUAACAUAUUUAUGUACCUAAAAAUCUACAUUCUAAUAUAAAGUUCUUUUUUAUAACUUAAAAAUUUUAGGCCAUCAGCAAGCAGUUUAUUGUCCCAUGUUUUCUUCAAACAGAUGAAAGAAGAAAGCCAGGAUUCAAUACUUUCACUGUUGCCUCCUGCUUAUAACAAGCCAUCAAUAUCAUUGCCUCCAGUGUUACCCUGGACUGAGCCAGAAUGUGAUUUUCCUGAUGAAAAAGACUCAUACUGGGAAUUCUAGGGCUGCCAGAUCCUUUUAUGUCCUAUAGACUUGACAUUUUCUCCUUGCUGCUUUUUCUUCUGUAUUGCUAGGUACAAAUACCAGAAUUAUACUUGAAAAUACAGUUGGUGCACUGGAGAAUCCAUUAUUUAAAACCACUCUGUUCAAAGGGGCAUCAGUUUGUAGUCCCUCUGGUUUGCACAGAGUGCUAUGACAACUCUAAGGAAACAUCAGAAUUACUAAUCUAUCUAGUAUCAUUUAUUCUGGAAUUUUUUUCUAAGCUGUGACUAACUCUCUUGAUCUCUCAAUAUAAUUUUUGAGCCAGUUAAUUUUUUCACUAUGUUGCUGUCAUCUUGGGAAUGGACCCUGAGAGGAUAGUGCUUCCAAGUACAUCUUCUCCCAGAUUCUCUGGCCUUUUUAAUGAGCUAUUGUUAAACCAACAGGCUAGUUUAUCUUGCAUCAGACCCUUUUAAGGUAGAGGGAAAAUGUUUUUACUUUCCCUUUUUCUUCUGUUAGUAACGGUAACAUCUUACUGAGCCUCACUUACAUUAAAUGAUUCACUUGAAAUAUA